rnacentral:ncRNA from 1 species
ACGCACCUCUGGUGUACCGGUUGUCACGCCAGUGGCAUCGCCGGGUAGCUAUGUGCGGAAGAGAUAACCGCUGAAAGCAUCUAAGCGGGAAACUCGCCUCAAGAUAAGACUUCCCGGGGACUUGAUCCCCCUGAAGGGUCGCGGAAGACCACCGCGUUGAUAGGCCGGGUGUGUAAGAGGAGUAAUCCUUUGAGCUAACCGGUACUAAUUGCCCGUGCGGCUUGAUCCU